AUGAUCUCGAACACUAGAGAGAGAGAGAGAGAGAGAGAGAGAGAGAGAGAUGUUUGGAAAUGGUAAAACAUCUGCUGUGGGAAUCUGGAUCGGAUUGAUAAUGCUAUGUUUAGUUGUGGGGGAAGUACGUGCAGUAAAAUCAUGUGAAUUCAAAUGCGCUUUGCAAUGCAUUUUUAAACCUGCGAAAUGCUACAAUCAGUGUGUCAACGCUAAAUGUCAUGGUAGUGGUAGUACCGUUACUACCGCCGGUGGAUGUGCUUUCGCUUGUACAAAAGAGAAGUGCAUCAAAUUUGCACCCGAUUUGAAGAAAAUUGAAGUCUGUGCCCAAACUUGUGCCGAUAACUGCAACCUCAAAUAGUACUACAGUUGUUCUUGUAGUAGCAAUGUUGAGUUUUCGAUUUACGCAAUAAAUUUCUCUCUGUAGAUUCAUCAAUCCUUAGAGAAAGUAUGUGCUAUAUGGAGGGGCAAUGAUAAACCUCAAUAUAUAAAUUACAAUGAAAAUAAUGCGAAUUUGAUUAAUGAAUGCUUAAUUACAAUAA